GCGAAAGUAGUUUUAAUGGUAAAACGUUGGUCUCCAAAACCAAAGUUGAGAGUUCGACCCUUUCCUUUCGUG
rnacentral:tRNA from 1 species